rnacentral:piRNA from 1 species
UCAAUGUUCCAAUAUGAGCUGCCAAUUGAU